rnacentral:rRNA from 1 species
UACGUAGGGAGCAAGCGUUGUCCGGAAUCAUUGGGCGUAAAGCGCGCGUAGGUGGCUUCGUAAGUCCGUUGUGAAAGUCAAAGGCUCAACCUUUGAAAGCCGAUGGAUACUGUGAAGCUAGAGUACGGAAGAGGCGAGUGGAACUCCUAGUGUAGAGGUGGAAUUCGUAGAUAUUAGGAAGAACACCAGUGGCGAAGGCGGCUCACUGGUCCGGUACUGCGCUGAGGUGCGAAAGCGUGGGGAGCAAACAGG